GCGCAUAACGGCGGUGGGGCUCGCCAUAACCGCCCGUCGCGAAAGCGAUGGCCAACGGUCCCUGCGGAACA
rnacentral:ncRNA from 2 species